GACAGAGGAUGCAAGCGUUAUCCGGAAUGAUUGGGCGUAAAGCGUCUGUAGGUGGCUUUUAAGUCCGCCCGUCAAAUCCCAGGGCUCAACCCUGGACAGGCGGUGGAAACUACCAAGCUGGAGUACGGUAGGGCAGAGGGAAUUUCCGGUGGAGCGGUGAAAUGCGUGAGAGGAUCGGAAAGAACACCAACGGCGAAAGCACUCUGCUGGGCCGACACUGACACUGAGAGACGAAGCUAGGGGAGCGAAUGGAUAGAAACCCGUGUACGCAGACC
rnacentral:rRNA from 1 species